rnacentral:rRNA from 1 species
UGAGGAAUAUUGGUCAAUGGCCGGAAGGCUGAACCAGCCAAGCCGUCGUGAAGGACGAAGGUGCCAAGCAUUGUAAACUUCUUUUGUCAAGGGACAAAAUCAGGCUCGAGAGCCUGACCGAGGGUACUUGAAGAAAAAGCAUCGGCUAACUCCGUGCC